rnacentral:rRNA from 1 species
AAAGAAAGCGUAAUAGCUCACUGGUCGAGUCGGCCUGCGCGGAAGAUGUAACGGGGCUAAACCAUGCACCGAAGCUGCGGCAGCGACGCUGAUGCGUUGUUGGGUAGGGGAGCGUUCUGUAAGCCUGUGAAGGUGUACUGUGAGGUAUGCUGGAGGUAUCAGAAGUGCGAAUGCUGACAUAAGUAACGAUAAAGCGGGUGAAAAGCCCGCUCGCCGGA